GAGGAAUAUUGGUCAAUGGGCGCAAGCCUGAACCAGCCAUCCCGCGUGAAGGAUGACGGCCCUAUGGGUUGUAAACUUCUUUUCUGUACCAAGAAACAAUCCCUCGUGAGGGGUCUUGACGGUAGUACAGGAAUAAGCACCGGCUAACUCCGUGCCAGCAGCCGCGGUAAUACGGAGGGUGCAAGCGUUAUCCGGAUUUAUUGGGUUUAAAGGGUGCGUAGGCGGAUUGAUAAGUCAGUGGUGAAAUCCUGCAGCUUAACUGUAGAACUGCCAUUGAUACUGUUAAUCUUGAGUAUAGUUGAGGUAGGCGGAAUGAGUAGUGUAGCGGUGAAAUGCUUAGAUAUUACUCAGAACACCGAUUGCGAAGGCAGCUUGCCAAACUAUCACUGACGCUGAUGCACGAAAGCGUGGGGAUCGAAC
rnacentral:rRNA from 1 species